rnacentral:rRNA from 1 species
CAGCAGCCGCCGCGGUAAUACGAAGGGGGCUAGCGUUGUUCGGAUUUACUGGGCGUAAAGCGCACGUAGGCGGAUCGAUCAGUCAGGGGUGAAAUCCCAGAGCUCAACUCUGGAACUGCCUUUGAUACUGUCGAUCUGGAGUAUGGAAGAGGUGAGUGGAAUUCCGAGUGUAGAGGUGAAAUUCGUAGAUAUUCGGAGGAACACCAGUGGCGAAGGCGGCUCACUGGUCCAUUACUGACGCUGAGGUGCGAAAGCGUGGGGAGCAAACAGGAUUAGAUACCCCGGUAGUCCCUGUCUCUUAUAC